ACACCUCACUACUAUAACUUUUUUGUUAUAAUAGUGGACUUGGAAUGCGCUGGUGUCAAUCAGCCCUUCUAAAAUGGAGUUCUUGCACUGUUGAUUUGUUUUAACAGCAUGUUGGCCUAAUAAGUUUCGGCAGUAAUGUUGAAAUCACUGGCUUUUUUUGCUUAGAAUCUGACAGUCUUGAUAUACAGAAUUUUUGAGGUGACUUGUCUCCUCUUCAAAUU
rnacentral:misc_RNA from 1 species